CGCUCGCCAGCCACGGCUAUUCAGUAACACAUAAGGUUUAAUUGUUUUAUAAAUUUCCAUUUUUCGAAAACUGGACGUAACCCAGCAGUUUGGUUUUCGGAUUCGUAUUUAGGGGUGUCUUACAGUUUUGUAACGGAGUAUAGACACAAUUGGAUUAUUAGUAUUGAAAUGGUGAAAGAAAGCGGUGCCAUAGCCAAUAAAUCAUUUCUUUGUGGUUCCGCGUAGGAGAUAGUUCUAAUAAUCCACGGAAUUCUAGCUGCUGUCCAUUAUAAAAAACAGCACGAGAAGUUCUUUUUCUGAAACCGAGGCAGUGUCGCAUAACCAAAUAUGCCAGAUAAUUGGAUUAUACCGAUAAAGUGACAAAAAUGAAGAGAACAAUUUAAAAGUGAUCAUGGAUAGAUAAAAAGAAUGCAAUUUAUUAACAAAAAUGCAGUAUAUUAAUGUAAUAUUUCACGAACCUGGAUGUUGCCACUUUGUGUACUCCUAGUGGGCCUCACCUUCACUCCCAAAAAGGAAGGCUUUAGAGGUAAAUAGUAGUGAGGAUCGAGGGUCCAGUGUGACUUCCAUAUUUUUACGAGUCAGUCCGAAACAAUACGCCGAAGAAAAACCACCUGGGUUGUUCACACCUCGAGCACAUACAGUCCACCUAUAUUUUUAUCUGGCUCAAGGAAGUCGCGCAAUAUUAAUUUGGCGUGUGACGUCGCAAAGGCA